UGUCACCACAGGUGAUGAAAUCAUACAUUAAGAGGGAAGUCCAGUAGCAGAGCAUUGUGUCCCUCCUGGAGAGGGUCAUGUUGGCAGGAGUAAGUUCUGGGCUACGCACAGGCUGCACAGAGUGGAAAAAUCAUUCGAAGAGCAAUAUCUAUUUCUUGAGGAAGCAUAUGAGCCUUGGAUAAAGAGAAGCCAAAAUAUACCUUACACCAGCAACGGAUUGUCGCAAUUCAGCAAUCCCCAGAUGCCGAUGUCGUUGGAUUUCACAGAUUUGCCGGUCACUGAGAAUUUCUCUGAUCCUCCAAUAGAUAGGCGAUCACAGAUGGCAAUUCCAAUCUGAUCAGAGGAUUGGGCAACCAGUCCUUAGGUGUAUAGGGGCCUAUAGAUAAAUUGUGCACUUAAAGGCCCCCAUAUAUCAGCAAUGACGAAAAAAGCAAAUCACAGACUGGGAUUUUUUUCCCCAGUUUAAAGAUUCCUCAGUCCACCAAUCUGCGCAUAUAUAUUACAGAUAGGUUUCAGUGAUUUGCAGAUCAUUUUCAGCAAAUACAGAUCUACUAAUCUUGAAAUGCUCAUCACUUUGCUAGUAACAAAGAAACAUAGAAUUGACGACAGAUAAGAACCACUUGGUCCAUCUAGUCUGACCCUUUUUUAACCAUAUUGGGGAUGAUUCAGACCUGAUUGUAGAUGUGCUAAAUUUAGCACAUCUACGAUCAGCUUCCCUGACGUGCUGGGGGACGCCCAGCACAGGGCUAGCCUGCCCACAUCUCAAGCCCUACCUCGUCGUAGAAGCACAAAAGCAUCGCACAGCGGCGAUGCUUUUGUACUGUAGGAGUAGCUCCCAGCCAGUGCAGCUCCUGCGCGCUGGCAGGGAGCUACUCAUCGCUGCCCGGAUGACAGCUGCUGCAUGUGACAUCACGCAGUCGCCGCGGCCCGCCCCCCCAAUGGUCCGGGCAUGCAUGCGUUGCCCAGACCGUGCCCCCUAAGCGGCAGGGCCCGCCCCUCCCACCCAGCGACCGCCUCUGCCUGUCACUCAGGCAGAGGGGAUUGCUGGGCUACGACAGCCGUCGGCUGUCUGUCAUGCACCGAUGCACUGUGGCGCUGGCGCACUUCAGACCUGAUCGCUGCUGUGCGUAUUAGACCUGAUCGCUGCUGUGCAAAUACGCACAGCAGCGAUCAGGUCUGAAUUAGCCCCAUUGUUACAUCAAACCCUAUUCGAUCCUUAUUUCUUCAUAAAGAUAUCCUUAUGUCUAUCCCAUGCAUGUCUAAAUUGCUCUACUGUCUUAGCCUCUACCACCUCUGCUGGGAGGCUAUUCCAAUUGUCCACUACCCUUUCUGUGAAGUAAUUUUUUCUCAAGUUUUCGCUGAACCUACUUUCCUACAAUUUUAGUGCAUGUCCUCGUAUAUUCUAAUACUUCUCUUCCUGUGAAGAAUGUUUCUCUCCUGUACCUUGUUUUCUUUUUAUUUCCAUUUAUUUUCUUUUGUUACAACUGUAAUAUGUAAAUUCAUUAUUCAUUUUAGGAUUUAUCAAAAAAGUGUUUGUAAUUAGUAUUUCAUUGAUUGAUGCUGGAACUGUUCUCAAUACUUUUUAAGAUGUUAAGUGUUAUUUUUUAAGAUGUCUGCACUCUAUAUUGCUGUUUACUUUCUUACAUUUGAUUGUAUGGCAUGGGUCCAUUGGUGUCCCUGAUUGUCUCUAUACACAUUGUUGAUCUAUGUCAUUUUGUAUGUUCAAUAAAAAUUAUUCUAUUUUAA